UCGAUCCCUGCACCACUUACCCUGAUUCAAGUCUCUGAAUCCCACAUCCGAGCGUCGCCACUACCCUCUAUCCUCGACUCCUCCGACGUGCGUCUCACUCUCAGCUCCAUGGAUGCCCUCUCCCUCACGAUCUGCGUGCACCGCAAUAUACUCGUUGCGCAGAGCGGGUUCUUCACCGCCUCACCGCCAAGCUCUCGGACCGCUGUCCAAUAUCAGCGGUGGACAUUGUCUCACAUCAACCAGAUCUCCGACUGCGACGACAACGUGGAGGUAUACGUCGAGACUCUGCGCCUCAUACGCUGCAAGGAUCUGACAGGAGGCUGA
rnacentral:rRNA from 1 species